ACGGAAGUGACAAAAAUGUACAAAGGGAAUAGAAAGAUCACAACCUUAAGUUUGGUCCAAAUAGACUUGGCCCAUUGGAAAAAAUUAUCAGCAAGGCCGCACAGGCCUGCCCUGCAAUCAACCCACCCCGUCAUUGCCUCCCAGGUUCAAGUGCCAUCUACGACGCCGAGGCCCUCCUCGUUCAGCUGUAGCGUACCUCGCGUUUUGCAGACACACAGAAGAAAACGACAUAAAACGGAUAAGCACGGCGGCACAUUGUCACCCACCACCGCUUCUUCACUCUUUCUUCUUUCAACCUUCUGCCCCAUCUCUUAUGUAAUACUUCUCCUUCCAUUUGAAAACGAAAGAAGCUCGCUCUGCUUUGGAGUUGGUAGGCAGAGGACAAGAAAGACUGGUAAUUUUGGACCUACGCUUUGUGGUAAGGUUGGACCCACCAAACCCAGUUCUGGGAGGCUCUUUGUGGGCUGCAGAGCUCGGUUUCUUGUUCUCUCUGAUAGCAUUCAGUGUAGAAUACAGGACGGUUACCAGAAACAUAGGCGAAAGCGUGUACUUGCUGUGUCGAAAGUUGAAACGUUUAGUUCCAAUGGUAGGCUGCAGAAUGUUGAGUAUGCCCCACAUGGGGGUUUGAAUGGAAUGGACUCUUCCAAUGGUUUCGAAGAAUUUGAGAGUAACAAUCAUCUCCGCAGGUUGGUUAGAAAUGGGGAAUUAGAAGAGGGAUUUAAGUUUCUAGAGAACAUGCUUUAUCGCGGUGAUAUGCCGGAUAUUAUUGCGUGUACGAGUUUAAUCCGGGGGUUUUGUAAGAGUGGAAAGACAAAGAAGGCGACUCGGAUUAUGAACAUUCUAGAAGACUCCGGGGCUGUCCUUGAUGUUAUAACUUACAAUGUCUUGAUCAGUGGCUACUGCAAGGCUGGUGAGAUUGAUAAUGCUUUGAGGGUUUUGGACCGGAUGAGUGUUUCUCCAGAUGUUGUUACGUAUAAUACAAUUUUGCGUACUUUGUGUGAUAGUGGGAAAUUGAAGCAAGCAAUGGAAGUUCUUGAUCGACAGAUGCAAAGGCAAUGUUAUCCAGAUGUGAUUACAUAUACCAUACUGAUCGAAGCAACUUGUAAGGAAAGUGGGGUUGAGCAGGCGAUGAAGCUUUUGGAUGAGAUGAGGAGCAAAGGAUGCAAGCCUGAUGUGGUCACUUAUAAUGUUCUUAUAAAUGGAAUUUGCAAGGAAGGACGGUUGGAUGAAGCAAUCAAAUUCUUGAACGGCAUGCCAUCAUCUGAUUGCCAACCAAAUGUCAUUACCCACAAUAUUAUUUUGCGUAGCAUGUGCAGCACUGGGAGGUGGAUGGAUGCUGAGAAACUAUUAGCUGAAAUGGUUCACAGAGGCUGUUCUCCCAGUGUUGUUACUUUCAAUAUUUUGAUUAACUUCUUGUGCCGGAAGGGUUUAUUGGGUAGAGCAAUUGACAUUUUGGAGAAGAUGCCUAAGCACGGUUGUACACCAAACUCCUUGAGUUACAACCCAUUGCUUCAUGGCUUUUGCAAGGAAAAGAAGAUGGAUAGGGCGAUUGAGUAUUUGGAUAUAAUGGUUUCUCGUGGCUGUUAUCCCGACAUUGUAACCUACAAUACUUUGCUCACAGCUUUGUGCAAAGAUGGAAAGGUUGAUAUCGCAGUUGAGAUACUUAAUCAACUAAGUAGCAAGGGUUGCUCUCCUGUUCUAAUCACAUACAACACAGUGAUUGAUGGGCUCUCAAAGGUGGGGAAAACAGAACGUGCCUUAGAACUUUUGCAUGAGAUGCGCAAAAAGGGUUUAAAGCCCGAUGUAAUUACUUAUUCUUCUCUUGUGGGAGGGCUUUGCAGAGAAGGAAAGGUUGAUGAGGCAAUUAAGUUUGUCCAUGAUUUGGAAGAUGCGGGCGUCAAGCCGAAUGCUAUCACUUUUAACUCCAUCAUGUUGGGGCUUUGCAAGGCUAAGCAAACUUGUCGUGCAAUUGAUUUCCUCACUUAUAUGGUAUCUAGAGGAUGCAAACCUACUGAAGCAACAUACACAAUUCUCAUUGAAGGCAUAGCUUAUGAAGGGUUAGCAAAAGAGGCUCUGGAGUUAUUGAAUGAAUUGUGCUAUAGAGGGGUUAUGAAGAAAAGCUCUGCUGAACAAGUGGCGGUCAAGAUGUAGAUGGACGCAGUUGUUUAACUCCACUGGAUUUGGAUUGGAUUGAAAUGUGAAAUGGCUUAGCUUAAACAGAGAAGUCGAGACCACGACGACGACAGACGGUUGUUUGCGACCCCCCAAUCACCAACCCACGACGAUCAACCCCGAGGUUUGCGACCUACGACCUCCUCCUGCAUUCAGAUCGACACUCACAAAUCCCAACCCGCCAACCCACCAUCAUCCACAAUGCUGGUCACACUUCUAGAAAGGAAGUGUACGAUUUCCACAUGUAAUCAGAAAUGGGAUUCUGAAAAAAGAAGCACGACGGUGCUACAACGACGAGGAAACUGUAAAGAAAAGCUUCCGUUUUCUCCCACAACAAUGCUUGCGAUGACCCCGCGACGAUGCUUGGGAUGAUGCAGCAGCGCUGCUCCAACAACCAUGCGAUGAAGGAAAGAGACGACGACAAAGAGCAGAGGAAGAUGUUGACAUAAAGGAGGCGGCACCUCGCCUCAUCUGCGACGAUUAGACUUGUAACCCGUGUGUGGGGUUUGGUUACAUAAUCUAGCUAUUUUGAAUUCGUAACCUGUCCUGUCAAAAUUCCAUUUAGCACCACAAACAACAGACUCAGACUCCAUUUUAAUUGACUAGAACCCAUCCCAUUAUGCCCACCAAACGGGCCCUAAGGGACUGUAAAUUAGGCUGCGGUUAUCUUGUCAUUGACAUCCACCCGAGUUGGUGUGGUUCCUCCCUGCACUUACCUGAGGGAAUCAUAUAUGCAUGCAUCUUCAUUGA